UCACAUCUAUUUUCAACUGCUAGAAGGACGCAUCACAUCUUUUUUUUUCCUAUCUUGAAGCUUUCCCUUAAGACAUCAUAGUUACAGACUAUCAUAUAAAUGUGAGAAGAAAAAUGAGAUAUGAAGAUUUCAGAGAGUUUUAAUAUGAGAUGGAAAAGAAAAAACAUUCAGAGAUGGGAAAAAAAAUUUGAGAGGUUGAGACAGAAAAAGAUAAAUGAAAAGGGAGAGGAUGGGUGGAGCCUUUUUUCGAUUUCAUAGAAGAAUUUCUUUUGUCAAACAAAUCUAUACAGAUUAAGUUUAUAACAAGGAGAGAGACAAAAUGGUAGCGGCAAAGAUGGGAUACCGGUUUGGUCAAUACUACACCUAAGUCUAAAUAUAGGGGCAUACUCGUAUUAAUAAAAAAUGUACAGUUUUCAUGUCCAUUUACCUAAUAUCAGCUUAUAAUUUGUAUAUUUACCGCAAAUUCCCUAUAAAAUAUGUGUAUUAAUUAAGUAAUUUUUUAAAUUUUAAUGAUAAUGUGGAUAUCUAAGAUGAA